GCGGGCGCGGAGGUGCGCGCACACCUAUCAGCCCGAAAUAGCCGGUUUUUAGCCCAGAAAAUAACCGGGCACCGCAGCCGGGAUGGGGAACGGGACCUGCAGCGGCGCGGGGUGAGGGUUUUCCAGGCGGGGCUGGCUCUGCAGCUCCUCGGAGGGGCUGGAACAGCAGCGUGGAUUUUCCCCUGCUGGGGCAGCAGAGCAGAAGGGACGCGCUGUGCCUGGCUGAUAACGAGGAACAAACUCAAUUAACCACCACCAAACCCCUCUGCUUGCCGUGGGACACGGAGUCCUGAGCACCUCAAACCACACCCGGCCCUUCAGACCACGGCAAUAAUGGGAAUUGCUGCAGGGAGAUGGCCGAGGAAUGCUCAGGGAAAAGCUGAUUUUGGAGAGGCUGGAAGCACGAGGCACCUCCCGGGAUCGGCCCCAGCCACUGCUGUCCCUCAUUCUUGUGCAGACAGCUGAUAUUCCCGAGCUCUUCCCGCCCUCCAAGUCCUCUGCAAGUGUUAAGUAUUUUUUUGCAUCCAGCAAAUGGAACAAUAACAGAGGACUUAAUUUUCCCAUCUGUCAACUCAUCCCGAACAAAUUGCUGAAAUUUUGGGGCACAAACGCCGUGUCAAGGAAAUCCAGGAUGCCAUCUGUCCUGCCCUCCUGCUGUCCCAACUUCACCCAGCUGGCUGGCUCAGAUAAGGGCUCCAGGGGCAGAUAAGAAGUUCUUUCCCUUCUCCUCCCUCUUCUGGAGCAGCAGCAAAUGCAGAGGCGCUCUGGCUCGCAGCCAGCCGGGCGGUGUUGGGACAGAAUCAAUGUUUGCAAACCCCUCUGAUGGCAGCAGCCAGGCUCAGCCCCGUGCCUGCCCAUAAAUCCAGGACACAAAGAAACGCCGGUAACAAAACGCCUGUAACUCAGCACAGCUCCUGGAAGGAGCCCAAAAGCCGUGUCUAAUGCUAAUAAUAAGCGUAUUUCCCAAAGGUAACAUUUGAUUUCUCUCCAAAACGAAACAUAUUUGAAGCUCUGCCUGGUUGGGGUUGUAUGGAGAUUAACCGGGGCGCUUUAAUGUGUGGCUGAGUUUGUAAAGCCUUCAGCCAGCUCUGGAGGAGCUGCCCCAUCCUGACAAGACCCAAAACCACUUCCCAGAUAAUGUGGUGUUUUCCACAGCGAGCCUGGAAAAAUCCAGGGAAGGGCUUUGGGUUUGUGGCACGCACAUCUGGCGAGCCAGAGCGCGGAGCGGCGAGCGCAGAGCGCGCUGACCAGAAAUGUUUGUGCUGAGCAUCGAUGGGCUGCCCAAAAUGACCUCCAGAGCCCGUGCAGAGCUCCGAGGGCUUCCAAAAAAUCCAUCCCAGCCCAUUAUGUGCUGGAAUGCAUCCGGGUGCACCAUGCCUGGAGCCUCUGCUAGGGAGAGCGAUGGAAACGGGUGGGAUUCGGGAUAAAUCAGGCUGGUGGAGGGGGGAAAUCACGACAGAAUGCUGUCCCCUGUUUUGUUUCUUUAUCUUGAUUUCUUUAUCUUGGUUUCUUUAUCUUGAUUUCUGUAUCUUUGCAGCUGGGGGAGGGGAGCCCCAGAGGGAGCGGGCCCUGGCUGCCCCGCGAGCGCUUGCAAUCAAUGCAGAUAAUGCACUUGGAAGUGCUCUCUCCUCUGCUGGUUUUCCGUAAAUCGCUGGGCACAGCUUCCCAGUGAUAAUGGCAGAGCUGCGCCUGUGCCAGCACGGACUGAGCUCCAAGUGAAAAAGGAGAGUGCAGUUCCUUGGGAUGCUUUAGUCUGGGAGCUCCCCCCGGGGUUCCACCUCUUCUUCCCGUGGAACAGAGCGUUCCUCCCUUCCCUGGAGUUUACCCAAAGACACAACGAACCCAAACAUCCUCCUCCUCCUCCUGGAAGUGCUGCUCAGGGAGGUCUGGAGUCCCCAGCCCUGGAUGCUGAGCUUCCAGAAUGCUGGAAUGGUUGGGCUUGGAAGGCACCUCAAAGCUCUCCACAUCGUCCCAGGUGUCCAAGGAAUUCUGGAUGUGGCACUCAGGUGACAAGGUGGGGAUGGGGCACAGCCUGGACUCCAUGACCUCAGAGGGCUUUUCCACCCUCAGGGAUUCUGGAAUUCCUGCUCACCAACCAGAGCCUUUUUCCAAGCACUGCUCUUCCCUUCCCCUUUGCCAUCCUGAUUUUCCACCCUGGUGGGUGGGUGAUACAUUCCCAGAACAGCUGGAUUAGGCCUAGGGACGAAUUAGCCUCAUUGAAAAUAUAAAAUAAUAAUUAAUCAUUAAAAAUACAAACUAAUAAUUCCUUGUUCCAAGUUUUCCAUGGACAGCCCUGCCAGGGAUUGAGUGCCUGAUGCUGGAGUGGGGCUCAGCUUUUCUUUAAAGCUAUUUUUUAACUGGAGGCAGCUCUAUUGAUGUGAUUUGGGAGGGCAAUUUUUGGGACUCGGUGACCUUGGAGGGUUUUUCCAACCUCAGGGAUUCUGGAAUUCCUGCUCACCAACCAGAGCCUUUUUCCAAGCGCUGCUCUUCCCUCCCGCUUUGCCAUCCUGAUUUUUCACCCUGGUUGUGGUGGAUUAGGCUUAGGGUCCAAUUAACUAGAUUAAAAUAGGUCCAGUGAUUUAGUUUAACAGUAUAAGCUAACAAUUCCUCAUUAAAAAUAUAAACAAAUAGUUCCUCAUUCAGAAUAUAAAUUAAGAAUUCCUCGUUCCAAGUUGGUUUUCCAUGGACAGCCCCAGCAGGGAUUGAGUGCCUGAUACUGGAGCUGGGGUUCAGCUUUUUUUUAAAUACUGUUUUUUUAACUGGAGGCAGCUCUAUUUAUCCAUGCUUUGGGAGAGUAAUUUAAUGGGUAAAUAUAAUCUUUAUUAAUAUUUUCUUUGUUAACUCAUUGAUGUUGGUAAAGAGCUUUGAAGAUGAAAGCGCUGUGUGCAAUAAAUAUUAACGUUAUUCCAACUUAUUUGAAUGUUGCCAGCAUUCCAGCUCCAACAUCUUUCAUCCAAGAAUCUCAAAGUGCUUUUCCAAAUGUUAAUUAAUUUCCUCUCAGCAGUCCAGGGAGACACCUUUUAUCAGCAGCAUCUUCCUUUCCCCAAGGAGUUGUUCCGAGUGCAUUUUACCCCACGGAUUUGGGCAAGCUCAGGGAAUGUGGCAGGCGUUUUUUGGGAUUGAUCCAAGAAUUCCAGGCUCCCUCCCGUUCUCCCAGCCCUGCUGCCUGACAGCAUUCCCUUCCUGGGAGUGGGGUGUGACUCUCAGCUGCUUUAGUGGUGGCUCUUGAAAGGAAAAA